rnacentral:rRNA from 1 species
GACAGAGGAGGCAAGCAUUAUCCGGAAUGACUGGGUGUAAAAUGUGUGUAGGUGGUUAAAUAAGUCAAGUGUGAAAUCCCUAUGCUUAACAUAGGAACUGCACUUGAUACUGUUUAACUUGAGUUCGGGCGAGGAGGGCGGAAUUCCCGGUGGAGCGGUGAAAUGCGUUGAGAUCGGGAAGAACACCGAUGGCGAAGGCAGCUUUCCAGCUUGAAACUGACACUGAGACACGAAAGCUAGGGGAGCAAACAGG